rnacentral:rRNA from 1 species
CCCCGGCCGUAAAACCCCCAAUUUUUUCUGGUUGACCUCGGAUCAGGUAGGAAUACCCGCUGAACUUAAGCAUAUCAAUAAGCGGAGGA